AUGAAGAUCUGGACUUCGGAACACAUCUUUGACCACCCAUGGGAAACUGUUACAACAGCUGCAAUGCAGAAAUACCCAAACCCUCUGAACCCAAGUGUGGUUGCAGUUGAUGUGUUGGACAGGCAUACAGAGCCCUCCGGAAAGUUGCAUAGCCACAGACUUCUCAGCACAGAGUAGAGACUGCCUUCCAUUGUGAAGUCUCUUAUUGGUGCAGCAAGAAGGAAAACAUAUGUGCAAGAACAUUCUGUAGUUGAUCCUAUAGAGAAAACAAUGGAACUUAAAGCUACUAAUAUUUCAUUUACAAAUAUGGUUUCAGUAGAUGAGAGACUUAUAUACAAACAACAUCCUCAGAAACCGGAAAGAAACUGUUUUGACUCAAGAAGCCAUAACCACCAGGAAAGGAGUGAGCCUCAGCAGUUACCUGGAAGGACUGAUGGCAAGUAUGAUAUCCUCCAAUGCUAAUAAAGGCCCAGAAGCAGUGGAAUGGGUAAUAUAUAAAUUAAAUGCUGAGACUGAAGAACUGACAGCCUCAGCAAGAGGAAGCAUAUGGACUCCAGUGGCCGCAGCAGCGUUUGCAGAGAAGUGAUCGUGAAAGUUUGUAGAUAACUUUGGGUACUCCAAGCCUCUCCAAGCUGGCUACAUAUUUAUGGGUUAUUUUAAAAAUAGAACUAUAUUUUAGGUAAUUUUUUUUGAUAAGUUGGUGUAAGGCUAUGUGACUUGAUCAAAACAGAGGCAGGGCUUCUAAAUAAAAGGAAUCAUCUGAAAUUCAAGUUGUUUGAAAUUACUAUCUGAUUUUGAGGGUUCCAGUAUUUCUGUGAAAAUUCAACAAGAACUCCUUGAAAAUUGUUAUUGAUAUUGAAUCUCCUUAAGAUAGAAUUUUCAAGCUUUCCGUACACUGGAACUCUACCUGACUUUGGACCAACCCCAGAACAGAGCAGAGCCACGUCCUAUAGACACCCACUGACCUGCUGCUGUACACUUCAACAGCUUGCACAAGGAACACACAGAAAAAGGAUAAAUUGUGUAGUUUUAAAAUAGAUUUUGUGUAAAAUAACUUGCUCUGCUAUAACCACCAUUAAAAAUCAGUGUUUGGUUUGGUACUUAAAUAUUUCUGGAGUGAAAAUUAUCACUAAAGUAACAUGACUCCAACAAAAGUAUGGUUUCAUUAUAUUAAAGAGUACCAUAUUGAUUUGCCAAAGUUUUGUAACUUAGUAAAGAUAUUA